CCUGGGCUGGGACCCGCAAGUCCUCCCCGAACAUUUGUUGAGUGAAACUCAGUAUCUGAAGAUUUUCUAAGGCCCCGAUUCUAUUUGCUCUGUCCCCCAACAUCCCUGAAAAGCAAUCAGUCAUCCAUCCCUAGAACUGAGCAAAUGCGUAGACCCACCUCCCACCUGAAACUUUAGUUACUCGCGGAACCCACGGCACCAGCACCUUCCGCUGUGCAGUGCUCUCCCUCUGCUAAUAUAAGUAAAGUCAGCUGAAUAUUUUUCAUAGUGGUUGCAACCGGUCCUCUGGAGCAACAGGAAAAUGGAUUACUCAAAUUCUGAAGUUUCCAAAUCAAAAAUGACCAUCUACUGGACAGAAUUAUGAGCUGGGGCACCAGUCUGGCCUUUGGAAAAUGAAGGGACUCCAGAGGCCACAGGCUAGGGCUUAGCUGAUUCUAGAACUCAACAGUAUCUGCGUCACCAUCGUUAGAAGCAUCCAGAAAGCAGAGCAGAGCUUCUGCUGGGCUUGUUUCCGUGGCAACAGCUUCACUGGCCUGUCUCGGGGAAACGAAAGGAGGAAGGGCAUGGAAGCUGCACAAGAAAACCAAUGCCCUCGACAGGGCUUAACUAUCCUAAAGAAGUGCAAUGCUACAUUCAAAGCGUGUUAGCAGUGUCCCUUCCGUGUGAAGUGAAGCCACAAGGAGACGAGCCUCCACGCAUCACGGAGCAUCACGGAGCAUCACGGAGCAAGGGCCCUGCGCACCUGUGCAGAAACAGAUACGACCCCGUCACACUCCACACUCCCGAUUUCCCGCCUCCCAAGUCUCCUCCAGUCUUGCUCCCUUGUUUUACGUGUCCAACCCGGCACCUCACCUAACCGCCUUGCAGUCAGCUGCCGGCAGCACAUUCCUCCACACUCUCCAGCCUUCACUUAGUCUGUUCCCUCUACCCAAAAUGCUCUUCCAUUUCCUUGCUACUGAACUAUUUCUACCCAUCCCCCGAGACUCCCUGUGACUCUCGCUGGCGCUGCCCCUCGCUGGGGCUGUCCUUUGCGCCCCGUAGCAUUUCAUCCUCCACUCCACCAGAGCAGGUAUGAUGCUACAGUGUAUUUGUCUACCUGCUCCUUCUUCCCAGAGUCCCAGAGUCUUUCAAGGAAGGGUGAGACACCCUACUCAUCUCUGUACCCCACCCCCAUCCCCAGCACCCAACUCUCGCAUCAGAUGCCGAAUGAAUGAAAUACUAUGGGGCAAGAAUGCAGGCACUUCUUUUCAGAGAGAGAAUACUGAUAACAACCUUGCAUCUUGUGUUAAAAGGCCAAAAGGUUCUAUCUGUAAGAAGUGAAGGAAGCCAGUCCUUUCAAGAGCAGAUUUUGUUACAGAACGACAGGUCCAUUUCCACAGACAUAAGCGCUGUGCAAGUAUCCUCUUCCGACCGGGAGGCUGAAAAGCUUUUCCAAGGUUUUGGUCUCCUUGACAACAGCAGUGCCAGAGACAAGUAGGGAAAUAAUUAAAAAGUACGUUCCCUUCGCCUCGAACUUCGCAAGUGUUUUUAAGCAAUAACGAACAGUCCGCGCUCAGUGUGGACGGCGUCAGUAUGGACCGAGCCGAGGGCAAUGCAGGGACAUGCCAUCCUGUCCCCCCAUCCAGCGCCCCUCCUCCGAACGUGGAAGCCCAAGUGAAGGAGCCAAGCCCUCCACCCAGGACGACAUUCACCGCAGGAACCACAGCCCAUACAGGGCAGAUUCACAACUGCACCUUCCAAGUGCCGGGUCCCACAGGUCAAACACUGCCGCGUGUAAUCCUUACAAGGGCUCUUUGAACUCUUUGAGCUGGCUCUCCUCCAGGAACUCGAGAUACAACAAUCAGGAGAACAACGUCCCUGCAUCGUGGAACUUAUACUGGAGUUCUUCCCAUUUUGUAGGUGAACUAAUUAAGACUCCAAAAGAUUAACGACCUUGCCCACAUUCACAUGACUACCUUCCGGAACUCCCAAGCAGGAAGCUGACACAGAACCGCCCCAGAACACAGAGGCAGAAAAGAGUGAGUUCAAACACCAGCUCUGUAUUCAGGAGCUACAUGUCCCUCAAUGUUCCUCUCUGGUACUCAGUUUUCCUCGUCUGUAAACUGGGCACGAGGAGGCCACUGCCACUGCUGCUGUCAGCUUACAUGAUGAAGGGUUCGCUACGUGCCUGGUACCCUCCAAAGAGUUCCCCACGAUUUUCCUUGUUUAAACCUCAGACAAGUGAGGUGGAUGCUAUCAUUGCCUCCACUUACUGAUGCGGAAACAAAGGUCCCAAGACUUCUGUAACUCACACAGAGCCACAGUCAGAAGGAAGGGGCCGGGGCUCAGACCCACAGGGGGACUGUCCUGUGCCCCCGCUGUGAGUAAAUGAGGCACAAAGCCCUGGUGUGGCCCCCGACUGUGCAGGCCUACAGCCCACAACAGGACCAGCCUGGCUCACUUCAGUGGACACCAACACUGCCCAGACCUGCCGGCAUGGGACCCUCCCUGCAGCAUGGACGUCAUGCAGCACAGGGGUAGCCUCCCCACCCAGCUGGCUACUCAGCUCCUCACCUUCCGAGACCCAGAUCAACCUUCCCCUUCCCCUUGUGCCCUGACCCCAACAGACCCACCCUACUCCCCGCUGCGUGCCCAGACCCAUCACAGAUGGACCCUGGAGGGCCUGUCACAUUUCUACGCCCUGGUCUGUUUCCACGCCUGGCCCCCGUUAGCUUUCUUGCCAGCGAGGGUAUGGCCGGUGCCCUCUGAGCCCAGAGCCUGUACACAGCCCAGCAUUUCAUCAAUGACUGGACCAACGGACGACCAAAUGAAGACAGAAGCAGAGACACCAAGUCUCCUGGCACAGACUCCAAGGGCCAUCUCUCUCACACACUCUGUGGCACCUGAUCUCUGGGGCCCUCACCGCUCGCACGCACACACACACACACACACACACACACACACACACACACACACAAAGCCUAACCCAAGGCCCGAGGGAUUCGCUGGCCACACAGCAGUCCAAGUCUACCGUCCCAGCCACCAGGAGCCAACAUCACACCGCGGAGCCGCAAAACAGGAAGCCACAUCUCGAAGAGCCCAAGUUCCUUGACGGGCCUGCUGAUGUCCAGGGCGUGCACCAGAUCACUUGUUCAACAAAUCAAGGUUACCGGAGGCACACUGCAUUGCAAGCCUCCCGUGCUUAAGAACUUGGCCUAGGAGGCAAUUAUAGAAUAAACCCUGGCUUGAAGUUCUUGAUAACACCUUCCAUCUGUAAGGGCUUUUAUAGUCUACACGGUGGCUUCACACGUCUAACCUCGUCUGAUCCCUUCAGUCCUGUGAGGUAAUUAUUUCACAGAUGAGAACGUGGAAAGCCCAGAGAGCUCAGGGAGGCGACGUGCCUACCUCAUCCGAGUGCCCACGGCGCACCGAGCGUGGCACCGGGUCAGGCUCCAGCCCCGAAUUCCGGGCCGGGCUCGGGGCUCUGUCCGGGGCAGCAAACAGCCGCCAGGACGCACAUCAUCCCAGGAGGGCCCUUAGAGUCCCCGACCCCUGCUUGCAUCUACUUCCCGGCCCACGGGCAACGUGGGCUCCCACCUGCGCUGAACCCUUCCAUCCUCACCCCUUCCCAAGGAAUCCGCUCCCCAGGGGGACCAGUCCUGAGUUCUGGAAAGUUCUUCCUCACACGACGCCAACCUCUUCCCCCGCAGUUUCCACCAUUAGUCCUGCUUUUGCGCUAGGAGCGAACCAGAGUACAACCCAUUCCUCUUCCUACCGCAGCCCCGCCGGCACCUGAGGACAGCCACCGCGCUCCCCCGCCUGUCCCUGUCACCAGGCUGACGGCAUCAUGGCAAGACUCCAAGGAGCCAGGACAUUUCAAACACACUUGAAUGAGAGCAAAGAACAUGGAAAGAGACCAGGACGAAAACAAACAACUUUUCUAACCAAAGGUUACAAUGAAAAUGUGUUUUAAUUUGUGUUUCUGUACCUUUCAAAAUAACACUUCAACUAGUUCAGAAAGAGA